GGUUAAGCGACUAAGCGUACACGGUGGAUGCCCUGGCAGUCAGAGGCGAUGAAGGACGUGCUAAUCUGCGAUAAGCGUCGGUAAGGUGAUAUGAACCGUUAUAACCGGCGAUUUCCGAAUGGGGAAACCCAGUGUGUUUCGACACACUAUCAUUAACUGAAUCCAUAGGUUAAUGAGGCGAACCGGGGGAACUGAAACAUCUAAGUACCCCGAGGAAAAGAAAUCAACCGAGAUUCCCCCAGUAGCGGCGAGCGAACGGGGAGCAGCCCAGAGCCUGAAUCAGUGUGUGUGUUAGUGGAAGCGUCUGGAAAGGCGCGCGAUACAGGGUGACAGCCCCGUACACAAAAAUGCACAUACUGUGAGCUCGAUGAGUAGGGCGGGACACGUGGUAUCCUGUCUGAAUAUGGGGGGACCAUCCUCCAAGGCUAAAUACUCCUGACUGACCGAUAGUGAACCAGUACCGUGAGGGAAAGGCGAAAAGAACCCCGGCGAGGGGAGUGAAAAAGAACCUGAAACCGUGUACGUACAAGCAGUGGGAGCCUCUUUUAUGGGGUGACUGCGUACCUUUUGUAUAAUGGGUCAGCGACUUAUAUUCUGUAGCAAGGUUAACCGAAUAGGGGAGCCGAAGGGAAACCGAGUCUUAACUGGGCGUUAAGUUGCAGGGUAUAGACCCGAAACCCGGUGAUCUAGCCAUGGGCAGGUUGAAGGUUGGGUAACACUAACUGGAGGACCGAACCGACUAAUGUUGAAAAAUUAGCGGAUGACUUGUGGCUGGGGGUGAAAGGCCAAUCAAACCGGGAGAUAGCUGGUUCUCCCCGAAAGCUAUUUAGGUAGCGCCUCGUGAAUUCAUCUCCGGGGGUAGAGCACUGUUUCGGCAAGGGGGUCAUCCCGACUUACCAACCCGAUGCAAACUGCGAAUACCGGAGAAUGUUAUCACGGGAGACACACGGCGGGUGCUAACGUCCGUCGUGAAGAGGGAAACAACCCAGACCGCCAGCUAAGGUCCCAAAGUCAUGGUUAAGUGGGAAACGAUGUGGGAAGGCCCAGACAGCCAGGAUGUUGGCUUAGAAGCAGCCAUCAUUUAAAGAAAGCGUAAUAGCUCACUGGUCGAGUCGGCCUGCGCGGAAGAUGUAACGGGGCUAAACCAUGCACCGAAGCUGCGGCAGCGACACUAUGUGUUGUUGGGUAGGGGAGCGUUCUGUAAGCCUGUGAAGGUGUACUGUGAGGUAUGCUGGAGGUAUCAGAAGUGCGAAUGCUGACAUAAGUAACGAUAAAGCGGGUGAAAAGCCCGCUCGCCGGAAGACCAAGGGUUCCUGUCCAACGUUAAUCGGGGCAGGGUGAGUCGACCCCUAAGGCGAGGCCGAAAGGCGUAGUCGAUGGGAAACAGGUUAAUAUUCCUGUACUUGGUGUUACUGCGAAGGGGGGACGGAGAAGGCUAUGUUGGCCGGGCGACGGUUGUCCCGGUUUAAGCGUGUAGGCUGGUUUUCCAGGCAAAUCCGGAAAAUCAAGGCUGAGGCGUGAUGACGAGGCACUACGGUGCUGAAGCAACAAAUGCCCUGCUUCCAGGAAAAGCCUCUAAGCAUCAGGUAACAUCAAAUCGUACCCCAAACCGACACAGGUGGUCAGGUAGAGAAUACCAAGGCGCUUGAGAGAACUCGGGUGAAGGAACUAGGCAAAAUGGUGCCGUAACUUCGGGAGAAGGCACGCUGAUAUGUAGGUGAAGUCCCUCGCGGAUGGAGCUGAAAUCAGUCGAAGAUACCAGCUGGCUGCAACUGUUUAUUAAAAACACAGCACUGUGCAAACACGAAAGUGGACGUAUACGGUGUGACGCCUGCCCGGUGCCGGAAGGUUAAUUGAUGGGGUCAGCGCAAGCGAAGCUCUUGAUCGAAGCCCCGGUAAACGGCGGCCGUAACUAUAACGGUCCUAAGGUAGCGAAAUUCCUUGUCGGGUAAGUUCCGACCUGCACGAAUGGCGUAAUGAUGGCCAGGCUGUCUCCACCCGAGACUCAGUGAAAUUGAACUCGCUGUGAAGAUGCAGUGUACCCGCGGCAAGACGGAAAGACCCCGUGAACCUUUACUAUAGCUUGACACUGAACAUUGAGCCUUGAUGUGUAGGAUAGGUGGGAGGCUUAGAAGUGUGGACGCCAGUCUGCAUGGAGCCGACCUUGAAAUACCACCCUUUAAUGUUUGAUGUUCUAACGUUGACCCGUGAUCCGGGUUGCGGACAGUGUCUGGUGGGUAGUUUGACUGGGGCGGUCUCCUCCUAAAGAGUAACGGAGGAGCACGAAGGUUGGCUAAUCCUGGUCGGACAUCAGGAGGUUAGUGCAAUGGCAUAAGCCAGCUUGACUGCGAGCGUGACGGCGCGAGCAGGUGCGAAAGCAGGUCAUAGUGAUCCGGUGGUUCUGAAUGGAAGGGCCAUCGCUCAACGGAUAAAAGGUACUCCGGGGAUAACAGGCUGAUACCGCCCAAGAGUUCAUAUCGACGGCGGUGUUUGGCACCUCGAUGUCGGCUCAUCACAUCCUGGGGCUGAAGUAGGUCCCAAGGGUAUGGCUGUUCGCCAUUUAAAGUGGUACGCGAGCUGGGUUUAGAACGUCGUGAGACAGUUCGGUCCCUAUCUGCCGUGGGCGCUGGAGAACUGAGGGGGGCUGCUCCUAGUACGAGAGGACCGGAGUGGACGCAUCACUGGUGUUCGGGUUGUCAUGCCAAUGGCACUGCCCGGUAGCUAAAUGCGGAAGAGAUAAGUGCUGAAAGCAUCUAAGCACGAAACUUGCCCCGAGAUGAGUUCUCCCUGACUCCUUGAGAGUCCUGAAGGAACGUUGAAGACGACGACGUUGAUAGGCCGGGUGUGUAAGCGCAGCGAUGCGUUGAGCUAACCGGUACUAAUGAACCGUGAGGCUUAACCUU
rnacentral:rRNA from 1 species